rnacentral:rRNA from 1 species
GGAGGAUCCGAGCGUUAUCCGGAUUUAUUGGGUUUAAAGGGUGCGUAGGCGGUUUGAUAAGUUAGAGGUGAAAUCCCGGGGCUUAACUCCNGAACUGCCUCUAAUACUGUUANACUAGAGAGUACUUGCGGUAGGCGGAAUGUAUGGUGUAGCGGUGAAAUGCUUAGAGAUCAUACAGAACACCGAUUGCGAAGGCAGCUUACCAAACUAUAUCUGACGUUGAGGCNCGAAAGCGUGGGGAGCAAACAGGAUUAGAUACCCUGGUAGUCCACGCAGUAAACGAUGAUAACUCGUUGUCGGCGAUACACAGUCGGUGACUAAGCGAAAGCGAUAAGUUAUCCACCUGGGGAGU